UGCGCGCCAGCGAUGACAGCGAUGCUGAGAGCGUGCAGACGGCGCGGGACACGCUGUGCUCCAGGAGAGAGACGGAUGCCUGCUCCAGCGCUGGCUCUGUGCUGAGCCUGGAGCCCACAGAAAGCCUCUGCUCCUGGCCAGGCUCAUCUAUAGGCUGGUCAUCCCCAACCGGUGGCAGUGUGGCUGGGAGCAUCUCGGCACUGUCUGUUGGCAGCCGCAGCACCCAGGGCCUGAGGU
rnacentral:lncRNA from 1 species